rnacentral:rRNA from 1 species
ACUCCUACGGGAGGCAGCAGUGGGGAAUAUUGCACAAUGGGCGCAAGCCUGAUGCAGCCAUGCCGCGUGUGUGAAGAAGGCCUUCGGGUUGUAAGCACUUUUCAGUUGUGAGGAAGGUGGUGUCGUUAAUAGCGGCAUCAUUUUGACGUUUAGCAACAGAAGAAGCACCGGCUAACUCCGUGCCAGCAGCCGCGGUAAUACGGAGGGUGCGAGCGUUAAUCGGAAUUACUGGGCGUAAAGCGCAUGCAGGUGGUUUGUUAAGUCAGAUGUGAAAGCCCGGGGCUCAACCUCGGAACUGCAUUUGAAACUGGCAGGCUAGAGUCUUGUAGAGGGGGUAGAAGUUUCAGGUGUAGCGGUGAAAUGCGUAGAGAUCUGAAGG